UGGGGUUAUGGCUCAGUGGUAGAGCACUUGCCUCACAUGUGCAAGGCACUGGGUUUGAUCCUCAGAACACUAA
rnacentral:tRNA from 1 species